AUUGAACGCUGGCGGCAUGCUUUACACAUGCAAGUCGAACGGUAACAGGGAGCUUGCUCCGCUGACGAGUGGCGAACGGGUGAGUAAUGCGUCGGAACGUGCCGAGUAGUGGGGAUAACGCAUCGAAAGGUGUGCUAAUACCGCAUACGUACUGAGGUAGAAAGUGGGGGACCUUCGGGCCUCACGCCAUUCGAGCGGCCGACGUCUGAUUAGCUAGUUGGUGAGGUAAAGGCUCACAAAGGCGACGAUCAGUAGCGGGUCUGAGAGGAUGAUCCGCCACACUGGGACUGAGACACGGCCCAGACUCCGACGGGAGGCAGCAGUGGGGAAUUUUGGACAAUGGGCGCAAGCCUGAUCCAGCCAUGCCGCGUGCCUGAAGAAGGCCUUCGGGUUGUAAAGGACUUUUGUCCGGGAGCAAAUGCUGGUGGCUAACAUCCACCGGAGCUGAGAGUACCGGAAGAAUAAGCACCGGCUAACUACGUGCCAGCAGCCGCAGUAAAAC
rnacentral:rRNA from 1 species